GAUAGAAGAUGCUGUAUUGAUUUAAGACAAUGUUAGCGCUAUAUCCCAGUCUACUCUUAAUUUUUCUUCUACAGUAUUUGUAUAUAUAUAUAUAUAUAUAUAAUUGCUUAUAACUAGGAUGUCAUUUGUAAUUGCUUAACUUUUUAAUACUAAUUACAAUUCAUGCCAGAUAUACAUUUAGCUCACAGAUUUUGUUUAAUCAAAGGUGAACAUGAAUUUAGCAUUGUCUGGAUCUUGUAGUGCAAACAAUUUCAGUACCUUUAUCCCACUCCCUUGUUGCAGCAAUACUUAUUACAAUUUAAGCAUGUGAAACCUAUUCGACAUAAUAGCUGAAUGAAGCAUCUAAAACAUACAAACUGUUAGGCUUGACCUUUGGGGCCUCAAGUUAAACUUUAAUAUCUACGGCAAUCAGACGUGGCAUUUAUUACAAUAAUCAACUCAUGCAAAAAUACACUCUGCAUACAUCAAUUUGAUAAAUGUUAAAGCUUAUCAAAUAUAAAGCUGUUGUUUAUUAAAUUAUACGUUACUCAAUAGCCUACCUUAUAGUUGCAAAAUAAAUGGAGCCUACUAAUAAACAUGUUCACAACAUAGAGAGUGCCGGUUUUUUGGCAGCAAAUAAAAACAUUCUUGAUCCCUGGGGUAAUAUUCGGAGAAUGAAUAAUCUAAGCGCGAACUGGCACCUCAUAAACUGUAUCUUAAUUUGGGUGACGCAGUUAAGUGGUGUUGAGCGCGGGGAUAUAUCAGGACAGCGGGCAUAUAUAUUAGAGUACCGAGGUUUGAGGUUUGCAGUGCUGUUUGGCUUUUGUUAUGUUAUUUUCAAUCACUGUAUAUAUAAAUAUGUGUCAACAUUUUGAAACGUUUAAACGCUUUCCUCUAAAGCAUACGCAACUUUUAAGUAAACUAAAGUAAAUUGCAACUUGUUUGGGGCAGGGUAAGUUCGUUUUUGGGGUUUUCUUUUUAGCUUUUAUGGUCACUUUACUUUUGUCUUUUCUCGAUAUUAUUAUAUAAAGUGAGGAUAACGUUACAAUGAUUUCCCCUAGGGUUUGAUUUGGCUGUUGAAUAAAUCAGCAUAACGUCGCACAUGUGACGACACUAAAUUCUUUCAGAGUUUAUUUAGCACAAAGUUCUUAUUGAACAGAGUACUUCUCGUUUAUAUUUCUUUUCUGUCGAUCUAAAGGCUUAUCAAAUGGCGGCCAACUGUUUAUGUCCCGGUUAGCUCAUUAUUUCGUCGAGUAAUCUUAUGAACGGAAUGUAAAAAAAAAAAAUGGAUUCGCAAUAGGCGACGGCUGUAUCUUAUCUAGCCUACUGUAAAUGUUGCACUGUACUCUGGCAGAAGUGGCAUUAAAUAGGAAGGCAGGCUGCAGUCUGGCUCUUGUGUAACGGUCGCCGUGAAUCCCAGUUCACCUCAGUUGAACUUGUGCUAUCCAGUUCACAAACGGCACGACGCUGUCAGUCCGGUCUGGCUGGUGUCGCGAGGCCGCCUCUCGAGCGACGAGGAAGGGGAAAGCGAUUUUGACCGUUGAAAAUGGCAAAGACCCCCAAAAAAGUCCCAGCCUCUCGACAUUUGUUAGAAAGCCUGAGAUAGUGUCCGUUAUCGCUCCGUUAUCGCGGACAGCGACACGCGAGAGACGCUGCGGAUCUCCUUUUCUCCAUCUCGUUUCAUUGUUGCCGAGGUGCUUGCAGUCAACAAAAGUAACCGGGGAGCAGGAAUUCGCCAUGAAGAAUGACAUCUCUCCACUGCCCGUCGACUCGGACGGACUGGCUUUCAUUCGUGAACUUGAACUUUAACUUGAGAACUGGUAGUCGAGCAGACCGACUCCGGGCAAGUUUUUGAUAUUUGUAUUUUACAAUAACCAAACGGACUUGAGUAAUCAAGCUUUCGAAGAGACAUGGCUGUAGCGAUACAGCAAUCGUAAUCCACCACGACUGCACCUUAAAAUGGCGAAAACCUGUGCAUACAGUUCUUGACUUACACCCCUUACAGUGUUUCGCUUGUGUCUUGAUCAGACUGAGGAGGAUUUUGGAGAUGAGAGAAGAGUCUCAUUCAUGGCUGGAUGACACAGUCACGUCCCGUAGUGUAUUUCAAAUACUUUGAGGCUGACCUCAGAGUUCACGGCCGUAAUUGAGAAGUCUUGCAGACACGUGCGUGUGGGGGCCCAGGAGAGACCACCACUGUGGAGAGCUUGCUACUGCGUCGGGGCAACGGAGCAAAAGGACAUCGGUACCAGUCUGGAACGCGUCUGUCUACUCAUGCUUUCUUCCUUUGUGUGAUGGCCAAAAGUUUUUUGUUUGUUUGUUUUAUUUUAACACAAACAUGCCCUUUGGACUCUUGCUGAUGAAGAGGAGCAUUGGAUUAAGGUGGUAUAAUUGCCCUUUUUAGACCCAGGACGCAGUGAAGGCAGAUUUCAACUCAAGAUCGGAGGACACAGUGUCUCACAAGUGUCACAAUAUCUCACUAAGGACAUUGCAGAAAAUGGAAAUUUUGUCUACAUUUGUUUUAUCUAUAAUGACACAUUAUAAAUGUAGUACAUCACACUGCUCUGUAACAAACUUGCCCUUUUAAACCCAGCUAGGUUCAAUUAUUUCCAUGAGAGGAACAUCAUGUGCAUGACUGAUGAUAUGAAAUAAUCUGACUGAACUGCAUAUCAAUAGGCCAUCUGCAUAUGAGAGUGUUUCAUGUUGCGGUGUUUGUUUGAAGCUGGAAAACGGAGCCCUCGCUGUGCACAGGAGAGACACUGUCCUUUGGGGUGAGGUAGUAGGUUGUAUAGUUUUAGGGUUAAGCCCUUGCUGUGAGACAACUAUACAACUUACUGUCUUUCCUGAAGUGGCUGUAAUGCCAUCAAUCAAGAGAAGCCCGACCAGUGAAGGACACUUCAACACCAACAUUUAAUAAGCAUUUAAUAACCCUCAUGCUAGAAUAUAAAUACUUUUGUUUUUCCUCAUAUAGGACAUAAAGGUAUUAUUUGAAAUUUGCUGACUUUAGUCUCGUCACUGUCAGGCAUUGUGAUGUAGAAAAGAUCCACACAGCUCACCUUUGUGUCUCAAAGCUGUUUGCCCAUCUCUAAGCCCAAAGAGGAAGACCAGUGUGUUGGGAAAGCCUCUCUGUGAUGUUCGUACAGGGUGAGGUAGUAGGUUGUGUGGUUUCAGGGUCGUGAUUUUGCCCCAUCUGGAGAUAACUAUACAACCUACUGCCUUCCCUGAAGGGCAGCAAUACAACACUGGAGACCAUCGACAGGAUGGCGCCAAGCCAAUCCAAAAGCACUAAGUAGAUUGAAUACUGAAGCAUUUUAAAAGAGUUUGUGUUGCUGGAGUUUGAAGAAACGAUGUAAUUUGUUACUUGUAGUGUUGUGUCACAUAUUGCAGUAGAAGUAGAUGACCAAUAAAGAUAUGACAAUAUCAGUUA